rnacentral:rRNA from 1 species
AUGAGUCGCCGGUAUUUGAAUCUGAUAGUGCAUGACUUCAGCAGUCGCAUCUAUUCUCUCUGCCGCAUCGACGCCCGCAAGCACCUCUUCUACGAAGACUCGGAAAUGGCAAAGCGAGCAGCACAACCUGCAGUACCAAGGAAGAGCAAACGAGGAGAGUUGGCAGCGAUGGGCGGCUGCAAAAGAUUGCCUCGGCCGGCGAUCAAUUUCCGAGCAUCGCCCAGCAUUCAUAACAAGACGACGGCGUACUUGUUCUCUAUACUGGGAGGGGAGAGCAACAUCCUUUACUCCGACAACAACUGCCAGACCACGCUCUGUAACCUUGACCUGAACAUCAUCGAUCCCUUCGCUCCUCCCACUUCACGGAAGAGCUGGAAUGCCAUCAGUCUCCCCAUAACCUCUCCCACAAAACCUCUGUCACUGUACGUCUUGGACCUCUUCCCCAAUGCCAGACCCGGUUGCUGCUUCGAGGUCCUCUCGCACCGCGACAAUGAACGCUCCCACCCCCACCCGCACCCGGCUGUUGUAAGGAGUGGAGCUGGGAAAUUCUGCCGCCGCCGCCAUUUUUCCGCAAUCCAAAAACGCCCCCGACUUGUAUUCCUAUGCCGUGGUCGACGGUUCCACCAUAUGCAUUUCAUCUCUGGAGCAGGCCAUAGGCACCUACACCUUUGA